GGGAAUAUUGGACAAUGGGCGAAAGCCUGAUCCAGCCAUGCCGCGUGUGUGAAGAAGGUCUUCGGAUUGUAAAGCACUUUAAGUUGGGAGGAAGGGCAGUAAGUUAAUACCUUGCUGUUUUGACGUUACCGACAGAAUAAGCACCGGCUAACUCUGUCCACG
rnacentral:rRNA from 1 species